rnacentral:rRNA from 1 species
AGAGUUUGAUUAUGGCUCAGGAUGAACGCUGGCGGCGUGCUUAACACAUGCAAGUCGAGCGAAGCGCCUUAUUUAGAUUCCUUCGGGAUGAAGGAUUUGGCGACUGAGCGGCGGACGGGUGAGUAACGCGUGGGCAACCUGCCUCACACAGGGGGAUAACAGCUAGAAAUGGCUGCUAAUACCGCAUAAGGCCGAAGCACCGCAUGGUGCGCCGGCAAAAGCUCCGGCGGUGUGAGAUGGGCCCGCGUCUGAUUAGGUAGUUGGUGCGGUAACGGCGCACCAAGCCGACGAUCAGUAGCCGACCUGAGAGGGUGACCGGCCACAUUGGGACUGAGACACGGCCCAA